rnacentral:misc_RNA from 1 species
GCCCCCUUCCCCUUUGUGUUCGUGUGUUGUUUGCUAACAGGAGUUUCUUUAAAUUUUUUAGCUACUCUCAGUUUGGUUUCAGUGCACGAAAUUAGGUCUCCUUGUUAGCUUUUUGGUUUUUAAGUAUUAUGGCUUCGUACAGAUUCAUGAUGUUCCUCAAUCUCUGUAGUCUUUAUUCAUUGGCUAGUCAACUCUGCCUAAAAGAGUGACUUUGGGAGAUACUGGGUGGAAUGCGUGUGACUUCUGUAUUCCCUGUUAGGUUUUUGGUGUUUUGUAGUCUAUUUUGGAAGAGCUCAUGUGGAGGAAUGUUGCUAGAGGCUUUGGGACUAUCUUUCUACACACACGUUUUUUGGUGCUUCUUCGACAUUAAUUUGAAAUGCUUGAUUGGAAGUUCACUUGUUAGUAAAGCCUUCUACUGCUCUUCCCCCCAUUUUUGCAAGUAUGAAUUUUCAGUAGUCAACCUUAUAUUGUAUGCAGUCAGCAGUGUUAAUCCUUGAAAUUUCUAGGGGUGGGAAUUUAGAAUACUUGAAGAGGUG